rnacentral:tRNA from 1 species
GGAAACUUAGGAUAUAAUAAACCAGGAGCCUUCAAAGCCCCAAAAAAGAAGUAAACUCUCUUAGUCUCCG